CUUCAGUGUCAUGUGAAUCACAUCUGUCAGGCCGUUGUUUCCCAGGACACAAGGGAUGCUCAGGAAGACCUCGUCCUUCACUCCAUGCAUACCCUGUCAGAUGAAGGGAGCACCACAAGGAUUUGCCAAAACGUGUAUGGCUUGCUCCCAAUCUCCUCACCUGGACCAGUGUGGACACAGGGUGCACUUUGUGCAGGUUCUUCAAGAUGCUUUCCACCAGGUCAGCCACAGACAUGCCAAUGGCCCA